UCCCUUCGUGGUAAGAGCCAUACCAGUAAUCAGCCAUCAGGUAUUCUAGGAUAAGUUUCUGUUUCCCAUAUACGCACAUACAAGACUGCAUCUAUGCAAUUGGCUACUGGCCUACAUUUUAUUGUUUUAUGUUAAGCGUACGGCGUACCCAUUAUAUACCUGAAGGGACCCUGAAGAAAAAUGAAAUUGUGUUCACAGCCCCUACACAGGAAGAGAUCACAAACCAUAAGCAGCCGGAGCAGUACCUAAAAGCACACCCCGGUGGGCCUAAAACUCUCAUAAAUUAUUGGGGAAGUGGUGAAACCAUGAACUGGUGAACUGGUCAACAAGAAUCAGCGAGAAGUUGAAAUGAACUUCUUGACAGUAGACAGUCCCCAAAGAAACGGGCCAGAAAGUCUUUCAGUUCAAAAGAAGGGUAUUACAGAGAACAAAGAGUUCUCUGAAACAAUCACUGACAUAGAUGUCGAAAUGAAGGCAGAGGAAAAGGCCGAGUCUGUAGAAGAAGACUAGGAGUAUGAAAUCCCGAAAGUAUGCCACUCAGAUACGACAAAGAGAAAACAGCUGAUGGCCACGAAAUUGAUGAAGACAGCCAAGGAGAAGCCCAUGAACCAAAGCAAACACGAAUUCCUGGGACUGCGAAAGUUGGUGCAGAAUGGUUGUCAUGUGGUGGGUCACUGAGCCACGGACAUAAAGCUGCUACUCUGCUCGUUUUUCAUAUAUUUCAUAGAAGAAUAAUGAGAUUUCACAUUCGUGCAAAGUAAAAAGACGUGAUUGACUUAUUCUAAAUACAGAAGUAUACCUACUCUCGUAUCUAGGAGAAUGAAAUUCGUCCAUUUUAAGAAACAUAAA